UAACUACUGCUAUGCCGCCCGCCCAUAUGAAAUUAACAGGUGAGCCCCGGGAACAAGUCAAGAAUACGCACGCCACGCGGCAAUCGCCCAGAACUAGCCUCAAUAUUAACACGCCGCCUCCAGCUGCUGUCACCACUGAAUCACCCACGCAAGCCGCAGAAUGCCAGUCUAAUUACCAUGGCAACGAAAUCAUGCAAACAGCCUCAACUACCUCAACGCACCCCCGCCCGCCCGCCGCUUUGAC
rnacentral:lncRNA from 1 species